rnacentral:lncRNA from 1 species
UUUAACAUCUUUCCGUUGAAUAUAAACAUUAAAAAUACUGUUCUUCGGUACAAUUUUGUUUUCAGAUAAUUUUAAAAAAUAUUAUAAUUAGCUAAAUGACUCUAGUAAAAAAAUAUUUAGCUAAAUAACCCUUCUUUUGCCAUAUAUAUAGGAGUCAUGAUAAAUUUUUUCUUAAAGGUGGUAAAUCGUUUACCGCCUUUAUAAUUUUUGAUAAAAGUGGUGAAUCAUUCACCGUCUUCUUGAAGAUUGUUUGUUAGAAUUUUUUUAGAUUGUUAAGGUUGUAUGUAAUUUGUUCAAUUUUUUAUAUGAUUGUUAGGAUUAUAUAUAAAAAUAAAAAUAAAAAGUGAGAUUGUUAGGAUUGUAUGUGAAUUAUUAGAAUUUUUUUUUGAUUGUUAGAAUUGUAUGAAUAGAUUAUUAGAAUUUUUUUAGCUGUUAAAAUUGUAUGUGAUUUGUUGAAAUUUUUAUGUAACUGUUAUAAUUAAUUAUAUGAAAAAAUAAAAAAAAAUAAUAAAAGAGAUUUGUGGGAAAUUAGAAAGGCGGUAAUUUACCGCCUUUACUAGGUGGUAAACGAUUCGCGGCCUCUAGGAGAAAAUUUUAUGGUGGUUCUUACAUCGCAAAAAGAAGGUUAGUUUGACAAUUAUUUUUUUAUAGGGUUAUUUAUCCAAUUAGAGAAUUUUGUAAGGCUAUUUUGAAAAAAAGUCCUCUCCAGUAUGUAGCUUAAGUUAUUGUUGAACAACGAUUAUUUUAUACAAUUUAACAUGAUUUUAGAAUAGAAGAUUUUAAGUUGAAGUCUUACUAGACUCCUUACUUUAUUUGAUUUCCCCUG